rnacentral:rRNA from 1 species
UACGGGGGGGGCAAGCGUUGUUCGGAAUUACUGGGCGUAAAGGGCUCGUAGGUGGCCAACUAAGUCAGACGUGAAAUCCCUCGGCUUAACCGGGGAACUGCGUCUGAUACUGGAUGGCUUGAGAUUGGGGAAGGAGGGAGUGUCCGGAAUUCCAGGUGUAGGCGGUGAAAUGCGUAGAUAUCUGGAGGAACACCGGUGGCGAAGGCGGCAUCCUGGACCAACACUGACACUGAGGAGCGAAAGCCAGGGGAGCAAACGGG